rfam:Ixodes scapularis strain Wikel colony gcontig_1108379761030, whole genome shotgun sequence.
CCUUGGUUAGCUCAGUUGGUAGAGCGCUGCACUGGUAGUGGAGACGUCCCGGCUUCGAUUCCCGGACCAGGCG